rnacentral:misc_RNA from 1 species
GAUGAAGAACGCAGCGAAAUGCGAUAAGUAAUGUGAAUUGCAGAAUUCAGUGAAUCAUCGAAUCUUUGAAUGCACAUUGCGCCCGCCAGUAUUCUGGCGGGCAUGCCUGUUCGAGCGUCAUUACAACCCUCAGGCCCCCGGGCCUGGCGUUGGGGAUCGGCGGAGCCCCCCGUGGGCACACGCCGUCCCCCAAAUGCAGUGGCGGUCCCGCCGCAGCUUCCAUCGCGUAGUAGCUAACACCUCGCGACUGGAGAGCGGCGCGGCCACGCCGUAAAACACCCAACUCUUCUGAAGUUGACCUCGAAUCAGGUAUGAAUACCCGCUGAACUUAAGCAUAUCAAUAAGCGGAGGA